rnacentral:misc_RNA from 1 species
UUAGCUCUAGCUAGCCAGCA